rnacentral:rRNA from 1 species
GUAGUUAGCCGGGGCUUCCUCCUUGGCUACCGUCACUUUCUUCGUCACCAAGGACAGAGGUUUACAACCCGAAAGCCUUCUUCCCUCACGCGGCGUUGCUGGGUCAGGCUUGCGCCCAUUGCCCAAUAUUCCCCACUGCUGCCUCCCGUAGGAGUCUGGACCGUGUCUCAGUUCCAGUGUGGCCGAUCAGCCUCUCAGCUCGGCUAUCCAUCGUUGGCUAGGUGGGCCGUUACCCCGCCUACUACCUAAUGGGACGCGAACCCCUCCUUUAGCGGAUUUCUCCUUUGACCUCUGUGUCAUGCGGCACUGUGGUCUUAUGCGGUAUUAGCACCUGUUUCCAAGUGUUAUCCCCCUCAGAAAGUCAGGUUGCUCACGCGUUACUCACCCGUCCGCCACUAAGCUAAAUCCGAAAACUUAGCUCCGUUCGACUUGCAUGUGUUAGGCACGCCGCCAGCGUUCGUCCUGAGCCAGAUCAAACUCUGA